UACAGAGGUCCCGAGCGUUGUUCGGAUUUAUUGGGCGUAAAGGGUGCGUAGGCGGCGGAGUAAGUUGGGUGUGAAAUCCCGGGGCUUAACCUCGGAAUUGCAUUCAAUACUGCUUCGCUCGAGUACUGGAGAGGAGGCUGGAAUUUACGGUGUAGCAGUGAAAUGCGUAGAUAUCGUAAGGAAGGCCGGUGGCGAAAGCGGCUUCCUGGACCAGUACCGACGUUCAGGCACGAAAGCGUGGGGAGCAAACAGG
rnacentral:rRNA from 1 species